rnacentral:tRNA from 1 species
GGGCGAGUGGUGGAAUGGCAUACACGACAGACUUAAAAUCUGUUGGCCGCAAGGCCUUGAGGGUUCAACUCCCUCCUCGCCCACCA